rnacentral:rRNA from 1 species
CCAAUAGCGUAUAUUAAAGUUGUUGCAGUUAAAAAGCUCGUAGUUGAAUUUCGGGGUCAGUAGAUUGGUCGUGCCACUGGUAUGUACUGGUCUCACUGGCUCCUCCUUCCUGAAGAACCGUAAUGCCAUUAAUUUGGUGUUGCGGGGAAACAGGACUGUUACUUUGAAAAAAUUAGAGUGUUUAAAGCAGGCAAUCGCUUGAAUACAUUAGCAUGGAAUAAUGAAAUAGGACGUUCGAUCCUAUUUUGUUGGUUUCUAGGAUUGACGUAAUGAUUAAUAGGGAUAGUUGGGGGCAUUAGUAUUCAAUUGUCAGAGGUGGAAUUCUUGGAUUUAUUGAAGACUAACUACUGCGAAAGCAUUUGCCAAGGAUGUUUUCAUUAAUCAAGAACGAAAGUUAGCGGAUCGAAGGCGAUCAGAUACCGCCCUAGUGCUAACCAUAAACGAUGCCAACCAGUAAUUAGCCUGAGUUCCUUAAAUGACUCGGCUAGGGACUUCCG